rnacentral:lncRNA from 1 species
CGUCAGCUGACAGCAAACAGAGCUAAUAAAAGCACCGAAGCCUUUGAAGAGACACUGAUUUUACCAACAUUUAUCAAGGGGUUUAUCCUGGGUGUAUGACAUUACAGAUGAGCGAUGGAUUGGGGGAUCUACUUGACAGAUUCAAAGAUGAGAAAAAAGACACUGAUUAUUGUGGUGUUAAGUUUAGCAUUCACAAUUACAUCUAUAACUGGACAAACAACAAUUGAUAAUAAUACAACAACAGAACCUACAUCUACAACCGGAGAAACAUCUCCAACAGAACAAUCAUCUACAACUACUGACCCUGUUACAACAACAGAACACACAUCUACAACCGGAGAAACAUCUACAACAGAACAAUCAUCUACAACUACUGACUCUGUUACAACAACAACAGAACCUACAUCUACAACCGGAGAAACAUCUACAACAGAACAAUCAUCUACAACUACUGACCCUGUUACAACAACAACAGAACACACAUCUACAACCGGAGAAACAUCUACAACAGAACAAUCAUCUACAACUACUGACUCUGUUACAACAACAACAGAACCUACAUCUACAACCGGAGAAACAACAACAACAGAACACACAUCUACAACAGAACAAUCAUCUACAACUACUGACCCUCUUACAACAACAACAGAACACACAUCUACAACCGGAGAAACAUCUACAACAGAACAAUCAUCUACAACUACUGACUCUGUUACAACAACAACAGAACCUACAUCUACAACCGGAGAAACAACAACAACAGAACACACAUCUACAACAGAACAAUCAUCUACAACUACUGACUCAGUUACAACAACAACAGAACACACAUCUACAACAGAACAAUCAUCUACAACUACUGACCCUCUUACAACAACAACAGAACACACAUCUACAACCGGAGAAACAACAACAACAGAACAAUCAUCUACAACUAACGACCCUGUUACAACAACAACAGAUCACACAUCUACAACAGAACAAUCAUCUACAACUACUGACUCAGUUACAACAACAUCAGAACUUACAUCUACAACCGGAGAAACAUCUACAACAGAACAAUCAUCUACAACUACUGACUCAGUUACAACAACAUCAGAUCCUACAUCUACAACCGGAGAAACAACAACAACAGAACACACAUCUACAACAGAACAAUCAUCUACAACUACUGACCCUCUUACAACAACAACAGAACACACAUCUACAACCGGAGAAACAACAACAACAGAACAAUCAUCUACAACUAACGACCCUGUUACAACAACAACAGAACACACAUCUACAACCGGAGAAACAACAACAACAGAACAAUCAUCUACAACUACUGACUCUGUUACAACAACAACAGAACACACAUCUACAACCGGAGAAACAUCUACAACAGAACAAUCAUCUACAACUACUGACUCUGUUACAACAACAACAGAACCUACAUCUACAACCGGAGAAACAACAACAACAGAACACACAUCUACAACAGAACAAUCAUCUACAACUACUGACCCUCUUACAACAACAACAGAACACACAUCUACAACCGGAGAAACAUCUACAACAGAACAAUCAUCUACAACUACUGACUCUGUUACAACAACAACAGAACCUACAUCUACAACCGGAGAAACAACAACAACAGAACACACAUCUACAACAGAACAAUCAUCUACAACUACUGACUCAGUUACAACAACAACAGAACUUACAUCUACAACCGGAGAAACAUCUACAACAGAACAAUCAUCUACAACUACUGACCCUCUUACAACAACAACAGAACACACAUCUACAACCGGAGAAACAACAACAACAGAACAAUCAUCUACAACUACUGACUCAGUUACAACAACAUCAGAACACACAUCUACAACUGGAGAAACAUCUACAACAGAACAAUCAUCUACAACUACUGACUCUGUUACAACAACAUCAGAACACACAUCUACAACUGGAGAAACAACAACAACAGAACAAUCAUCUACAACUACUGACCCUCUUACAACAACAACAGAACACACAUCUACAACCGGAGAAACAACAACAACAGAACAAUCAUCUACAACUACUGACCCUCUUACAACAACAACAGAACACACAUCUACAACAGAACAUGUAUUUACAACUACUGACCCUGUUACAACAACAACAGAACUUACAUCUACAACCGGAGAAACAACAACAACAGAACACACAUCUACAACAGAACAAUCAUCUACAACUACUGACCCUGUUACAACAACAACAGAACACACAUCUACAACCGGUGAAACAACAACAGAACACACAUCUACAACUACUGACCCUGUUACAACAACAACAGAACACACAUCUACAACAGAACAAGCAUCCACAACCACUGUUCCUCUUACAACAACAACGGAACACACAUCUACAACCGGAGAAACAACAACAACAGAACAAUCAUCUACAACUACUGACCCUCUUACAACAACAACAGAACACACAUCUACAACCGGAGAAACAACAACAACAGAACAAUCAUCUACAACUACUGACCUUCUUACAACAACAACACAACACACAUCUACAACCGGAGAAACAACAACAACAGAACAAUCAUCUACAACAGAACAAUCAUCUACAACUACUGACCCUGUUACAACAACAACAGAACACACAUCUACAACAGAACAUGUAUUUACAACUACUGACCCUGUUACAACAACAACAGAACUUACAUCUACAACCGGAGAAACAACAACAGAACACACAUCUACAACAGAACAAUCAUCUACAACUACUGACCCUGUUACAACAACAACAGAACCUACAUCUACAACCGGAGAAACAACAACAGAACACACAUCUACAACAGAACAAUCAUCUACAACUACUGACCCUGUUACAACAACAACAGAACACACAUCUACAACAGAACAUGUAUCUACAACUACUGACCCUGUUACAACAACAACAGAACACACAUCUACAACAGAACAAGCAUCCACAACCACUGUUCCUCUUACAACAACAACGGAACACACAUCUACAACCGGAGAAACAACAACAGAACACACAUAUACAACAGAACAAACAGCUACAACUACUGCCUCUCUUACAACAGAUUUACCCACAACUACAAAUACAGUCUUAACUAGUUCAAUACCUACAACAAUCACAACAACUGCAAGCACAAAUCAAGAAACAACACAAAGCACAUCAAAAGUUUACGUUUCGUUUUCCAGCCCUGAUCCAUUUACAAAUGACUUGUAUAAUUCAUCUUCACCAGCAUAUAUCGACAGAGUAACGAAAACCAAACAGCUUGAACCAGCCUUUAAAGAAAGAUUAGGCUCUUUAUACGUUGGAAUGAUUCUUAAAGGAUUCCGUCGUGGAUCAACCAUCACUGAUUUAGAUAUAACAGUGGCCGAUUCAACCAGUAAUGACAGUUCAGUCUCAGAACUAAUAGGCCAAGCUAUUAUUACUGCAAACCUUCCUUUUAAUGUCAGCAGUGUACAAGUGACAACUACAGCUGCCCCUGAUACAGUAACAACAGAACCAUCAACUACAACCACUGCGCCUGUUACAACAACAACAGAACACACAUCUACAACAGAACAAUCAACUACAACCACUGCCCCUGUUACAACAACAACAGAACACACAUCUUCAACAGAACCAUUAACUACAACCACUGCGCCUGUUACAACAACAACAGAACACACAUCUACAACAGAACUAUCAACUACAACCACUGUGCCUGUUACAACAACAACAGAACACACAUCUACAACAGAACCAUCAACUACAACCACUGCCCCUGUUACAACAACAACAGAACACACAUCUACAACAGAACCAUCAACUACAACCACUGCGCCUGUUACAACAACAACUGAACACACAUCUACAACAGAACCAUCAACUACAACCACUGCCCCUAUAACAUCAACAACAGAACACACAUCUACAACAGAACAAUCAACUAUAACCACUGCCCCUGUUACAACAACAACAGAACACACAUCUACAACAGAACCAUCAACUACAACCACUGCGCCUGUUACAACAACAACAGAACAAACAUCUACAACAGAACCAUCAACUACAACCACUGCCCCUGUUACAACAACAGAACACACAUCUACAACAGAACCAUCAACUACAACAACUGCGCCUGUUACAACAACAGAACACACAUCUACAACAGAACCAUCAACUACAACCACUGCCCCUGUUACAACAACAACAGAACACACAUCUACAACAGAACAAUCAACUAAAACCACAGCCCCUGAUACAACAACAACAACAGAACACACAUCUACAACAGAACCAUCAACUACAACCACUGCGCCUGUUACAACAACAACAGAACACACAUCUACAACAGAACCAUCAACUACAACCACUGCGCCUGUUACAACAACAACAGAACACACAUCUACAACAGAACCAUCAACUACAACCACUGCCCCUGUUACAACAACAACAGAACACACAUCUACAACAGAACCAUCAACUACAACCACUGCGCCUGUUACAACAACAACAGAACACACAUCUACAACAGAACAAUCAACUACAACCACUGCGCCUGUUACAACAACAACAGAACACACAUCUACAACAGAACAAUCAACUACAACCACUGCCCCUGUUACAACAACAACAGAACACACAUCUACAACAGAACAAUCAACUACAACCACUGCGCCUGUUACAACAACAACAGAACACACAUCUACAACAGAACCAUCAACUACAACCACUGCGCCUGUUACAACAACAACAGAACACACAUCUACAACAGAACCAUCAACUACAACCACUGCACCUGUUACAACAACAACAGAACACACAUCUACAACAGAACAAUCAACUACAACCACUGCGCCUGUUACAACAACAACAGAACACACAUCUACAACAGAACAAUCAACUACAACCACUGCGCCUGUUACAACAACAACAGAACCUACAUCUACAACAGAACAAUCAACUACAACCACUGCGCCUGUUACAACAACAACUGAACACACAUCUACAACAGAACCAUCAACUACAACCACUGCACCUGUUACAACAACAACAGAACACACAUCAACAACAGAACAAUCAACUACAACCACUGCGCCUGUUACAACAACAACAGAACACACAUCUACAACAGAACAAUCAACUACAACCACUGCGCCUGUUACAACAACAACAGAACCUACAUCUACAACAGAACAAUCAACUACAACCACUGCGCCUGUUACAACAACAACAGAACACACAUCUACAACAGAACAAUCAACUACAACCACUGCCCCUGUUACAACAACAACAGAACACACAUCUACAACAGAACCAUCAACUACAACCACUGCCCCUGUAACAACAACAACAGAACACACAUCUACAACAGAACCAUCAACUACAACCACUGCCCCUGUAACAACAACAACAGAACACACAUCUACAACAGAACCAUCAACUACAACCACUGCCCCUGUAACAACAACAACAGAACACACAUCUACAACAGAACCAUCAACUACAACCACUGCCCCUGUAACAACAACAACAGAACACACAUCUACAACAGAACCAUCAACUACAACCACUGCCCCUGUAACAACAACAACAGAACACACAUCUACAACAGAACCAUCAACUACAACCACUGCCCCUGUAACAACAACAACAGAACACACAUCUACAACAGAACCAUCAACUACAACCACUGCCCCUGUAACAACAACAACAGAACACACAUCUACAACAGAACCAUCAACUACAACCACUGCCCCUGUAACAACAACAACAGAACACACAUCUACAACAGAACCAUCAACUACAACCACUGCCCCUGUAACAACAACAACAGAACACACAUCUACAACAGAACCAUCAACUACAACCACUGCGCCUGUUACAACAACAACAGAACACACAUCUACAACAGAACCAUCAACUACAACCACUGCCCCUAUAACAUCAACAACAGAACACACAUCUACAACAGAACCAUCAACUACAACCACUGCGCCUGUUACAACAACAAAAGAACACACAUCAACAACAGAACCCUUAACUACAACCACUGCGCCUGUUACAACAACAACAGAACACACAUCUACAACAGAACCAUCAACUACAACCACUGCCCCUGUUACAACAACAACAGAACCUACAUCUACAACAGAACAAUCAACUACAACCACUGCGCCUGUUACAACAACAACAGAACACACAUCUACAACAGAACCAUCAACUACAACCACUGCGCCUGUUACAACAACAACUGAACACACAUCUACAACAGAACCAUCAACUACAACCACUGCACCUGUUACAACAACAACAGAACACACAUCAACAACAGAACAAUCAACUACAACCACUGCGCCUGUUACAACAACAACAGAACACACAUCUACAACAGAACAAUCAACUACAACCACUGCGCCUGUUACAACAACAACAGAACCUACAUCUACAACAGAACAAUCAACUACAACCACUGCGCCUGUUACAACAACAACUGAACACACAUCUACAACAGAACCAUCAACUACAACCACUGCCCCUAUAACAUCAACAACAGAACACACAUCUACAACAGAACAAUCAACUACAACCACUGCGCCUGUUACAACAACAACAGAACACACAUCUACAACAGAACAAUCAACUACAACCACUGCCCCUAUAACAUCAACAACAGAACACACAACAACAACAGAACAAUCACCUACAAUUAUAAUUGAAGUGACAACAGUUUAUUUUACGAUUUCCAGCCCUGAUAAUUUCACGAGUGACUUGUAUAAUUCAUCUUCACCAGCAUAUAUUGACAGAGUAAAGAAAACCAAAGAGCUUGACCCAGUCUUUAAACAGAAAUAUAACCAGACAUACGUUGAUAUGCAAGUUAUAGGAUUCCAUCCUGGAUCAACCCUCACUGAUAUAGGUGUAACAUUUACAACUGCACCCGCUAAUGAGGACAUAAUCAGCACUAUCAAAUCUGCAACCCUGAGUUUUACUGUCACCAGAGCAGAGGUCACUCCAAACCCAGAAACAAUGAUGACCACACCUCCAGAUACAACUACUGCACCUGUUACAGAAACAACACAACAGACAAGUACAACUUUACUAACCUCUACAAGUCCUUUAACAUCUACUACAGAACAAACAACUACAACUACUGCCCCUGUUACAACAACAACUGAACACACAUCUACAACAGAACCAUCAACCACAACCACUGCCCCUGUUACAACAACAACAACAGAACACACAUCUACAACAGAACAAUCAACAACAACCACUGCCCUUGUUACAACAACAACAGAACACACAUCUACAACAGAACUAUCAACUACAACCACUGCGCCUGUUACAACAACAACAGAACACACAUCUACAACAGAACCAUCAACCACAACCACUGCGCCUGUUACAACAACAGAACAUACAUCUACAACAGAACAAUCAACUACAACCACUGCGCCUGUUACAACAACAACAGAACACACAUCUACAACAGAACCAUCAACCACAACCACUGCGCCUGUUACAACAACAGAACACACAUCUACAACAGAACAAUCAACUACAACCACUGCCCCUGAAACAACAACAACAGAACACACAUCUACAACAGAACCAUCAACCACAACCACUGCGUCUGUUACAACAACAGAACACACAUCUACAACAGAACAAUCAACUACAACCACUGCCCCUGUUACAACAACAACAGAACACACAUCUACAACAGAACCAUCAACCACAACCACUGCCCCUGAAACAACAACAACAGAACACACAUCUACAACAGAACCAUCAACCACAACCACUGCGCCUGUUACAACAACAACAGAACACACAUCUACAACAGAACCAUCAACUACAACCACUGCGCCUGUUACAACAACAACAGAACACACAUCUACAACAGAACCAUCAACCACAACCACUGCGCCUGUUACAACAACAACAGAACACACAUCUACAACAGAACCAUCAACUACAACCACUGCACCUGUUACAACAACAACAGAACACACAUCAACAACAGAACCAUCAACUACAACCACUGCGUCUGUUACAACAACAACAGAACACACAUCUACAACAGAACCAUCAACUACAACCACUGCGCCUGUUACAACAACAACUGAACACACAUCUACAACAGAACCAUCAACUACAACCACUGCCCCUAUAACAUCAACAACAGAACACACAUCUACAACAGAACCAUCAACCACAACCACUGCACCUGUUACAACAACAACUGAACACACAUCUACAACAGAACAAUCAACUACAACCACUGCGUCUGUUACAACAACAACAGAACACACAUCUACAACAGAACCAUCAACUACAACCACUGCGCCUGUUACAACAACAACUGAACACACAUCUACAACAGAACCAUCAACUACAACCACUGCCCCUAUAACAUCAACAACAGAACACACAUCUACAACAGAACCAUCAACCACAACCACUGCACCUGUUACAACAACAACAGAACACACAUCUACAACAGAACCAUCAACUACAACCACUGCGCCUGUUACAACAACAACUGAACACACAUCUACAACAGAACCAUCAACUACAACCACUGCCCCUAUAACAUCAACAACAGAACACACAUCUACAACAGAACCAUCAACUACAACCACUGCGUCUGUUACAACAACAACAGAACACACAUCUACAACAGAACCAUCAACUACAACCACUGCCCCUGUUACAACAACAACAGAACACACAUCUACAACAGAACCAUCAACUACAACCACUGCCCCUGUUACAACAACAGAACACACAUCUACAACAGAACUAUCAACUACAACCACUGCGCCUGUUACAACAACAACUGAACACACAUCUACAACAGAAUCAUCAACUACAACCACUGCCCCUAUAACAUCAACAACAGAACACACAUCUACAACAGAACCAUCAACCACAACCACUGCACCUGUUACAACAACAACUGAACACACAUCUACAACAGAACAAUCAACUACAACCACUGCCCCUGUUACAACAACAGAACAAACAUCUACAACAGAACAAUCAACUACAACCACUGCCCCUGUUACAACAACAACAGAACACACAUCUACAACAGAACCAUCAACUACAACCACUGCCCCUGUUACAACAACAGAACACACAUCUACAACAGAACAAUCAACUACAACCACUGCACCUGUUACAACAACAACAGAACACACAUCUACAACAGAACCAUCAACUACAACCACUGCGGCUGUUACAACAACAACAGAACCUACAUCUACAACAGGACACACAUCAACUACAACCACUGCACCUGUUACAACAACAACAGAACACACAUCAACAACAGAACCAUCAACUACAACCACUGCCCCUGUUACAACAACAACAACAGAACACACAUCUACAACAGAACAAUCAACUACAACCACUGCGCCUGUUACAACAACAACAGAACACACAUCUACAACAGAACCAUCAACUACAACCACUGCGCCUGUUACAACAACAACAGAACACACAUCUACAACAGAACCAUCAACUACAACCACUGCGCCUGUUACAACAACAACAGAACACACAUCUACAACAGAACCAUCAACUACAACCACUGCGCCUAUUACAACAACAACAGAACAUGUAUCUACGACUACUGCCCCUGUUACAGAAACACAACUGACAAGUACAGCUGUCCUAACAUCUACAAGUCCUUUGACGUCUACAACAGAACAAACAACAACUACUGCCCCUGUUACAGAAACAGGCUCAUCUACAACUACAACCACAGUCUUAACUAGUACACAACCUAUUACUGCAACUACUGCUUCCUUCACAACUAUAACACAAUCAGAAACAACAACCACACCAAUAACAGCCACCAUUACCUCUGCACCUACAACAUCACCAACAGUUCAACCUACAACCACCGCACCAACUGCAGGCACCCCUCAAGCAACAACCCAAAUCACAUCUACAGUUUUAGUUAGGAUUUCCAGCUCGGAUCAAUUUACAAAUGAAUUGUUAGAUUCAACUUCACAAGGAUAUAGAACGAGAGUCAACAAAGUCGAAGAGCUUGACCCAGUCUUUAAAAGAAAAUAUGGCAAUUCAUACAUCAGAUUGGCAGUUAUUAGGUUCAGUCCUGGAUCAAUCCUCGCUGAUGUAAAUGUAACAUUUACAACUGUACCCACUAAUGAGGACAUAAUCAGCACUAUCACCACUGCAAACCUUACUUUUCCUGUCACCGGAGCAGAGGGUAAGUUAAACGAGCAUCUUCAACAAUGCAGUAUCAUUUUAAAAAAUUUUGGAUGCUUUUGGUAUUUCUCCUGUGUUAUUAGACUAUACAUUAGCUGUUACAUGUGA